GAUGAACGCUAGCGGGAGGCUUAACACAUGCAAGUCGAGCGGUAUUGGCAGCAAUGUCGAGAGAGCGGCGCACGGGUGCGUAACGCGUAUGCAACCUGCCUUAUGCAGGGGGAUAGCCCAUGGAAACGUGGAUUAAUACCCCAUAGAAUAUUAGAGUCGCAUGAUUUUAAUAUUAAAAUUCCGAUGGCAUAAGAUGGGCAUGCGUAGGAUUAGUUAGUUGGUGAGGUAACGGCUCACCAAGACAGCGAUCCUUAGGGGUUCUGAGAGGAUUCCCCCCCACACUGGAACUGAGACACGGUCCAGACUCCUACGGGAGGCAGCAGUGAGGAAUAUUGGUCAAUGGGCGCUAGCCUGAACCAGCCAUCCCGCGUGCAGGAAGACGGCCCUAUGGGUUGUAAACUGCUUUUCUGUUAGAAGAACAGUUCUUACGUGUUAAGGAUAUGACAGUAUAACAGGAAUAAGCAUCGGCUAACUCCGUGCCAGCAGCCGCGGUAAUACGGAGGAUGCAAGCGUUAUCCGGAUUCAUUGGGUUUAGAGGGUGCGUAGGCGGGUUUGUAAGUCAGUGGUGAAAUACUGUCGCUUAACGAUAGGAUUGCCAUUGAUACUGCUAAUCUUGAGUAUGGUUGAGGUAGGCGGAAUGUGUUGUGUAGCGGUGAAAUGCAUAGAUAUGACACAGAACACCAAUUGCGAAGGCAGCUUACUAAUCCAUUACUGACGCUGAUGCACGAAAGCGUGGGGAUCAAACAGGAUUAGAUACCCUGGUAGUCCACGCUGUAAACGAUGUUCACUCGCUGUUUGCGAUACACAGUAAGCGGCUAAGCGAAAGCAUUAAGUGAACCACCUGGGGAGUACGAUCGCAAGGUUGAAACUCAAAGGAAUUGACGGGGGCCCGCACAAGCGGAGGAACAUGUGGUUUAAUUCGAUGAUACGCGAGGAACCUUACCUGGGCUUAAAUGUAGAUUGCAUAGGGUAGAGAUAUCCUUUCCCUUCGGGGCUAUUUACAAGGUGCUGCAUGGUUGUCGUCAGCUCGUGCCGUGAGGUGUCGGGUUAAGUCCCAUAACGAGCGCAACCCUUACCGUUAGUUGCCAUCGGGUCAAGCCGGGAACUCUAGCGGGACUGCCACCGUAAGGUGAGAGGAAGGCGGGGAUGACGUCAAAUCAGCACGGCCCUUAUGUCCAGGGCUACACACGUGUUACAAUGGCCGGUACAGAGGGCAGCUACUUAGUGAUAAGAUGCUAAUCCCAAAAUCCGGUCCCAGUUCGGAUUGGAGUCUGCAACCCGACUCCAUGAAGUUGGAUUCGCUAGUAAUCGCGCAUCAGCCAUGGCGCGGUGAAUACGUUCCCGGGC
rnacentral:rRNA from 1 species